rnacentral:rRNA from 1 species
UACGAAGGGGGCUAGCGUUGCUCGGAAUCACUGGGCGUAAAGCGCACGUAGGCGGAUUGCUAAGUCAGGGGUGAAAUCCUGGAGCUCAACUCCAGAACUGCCCUUGAUACUGGCGGUCUCGAGUCCGGGAGAGGUGAGUGGAAUUCCCAGUGUAGAGGUGAAAUUCGUAGAUAUUGGGAAGAACACCGGUGGCGAAGGCGGCUCACUGGCUCAGUUUCUGACGCUCAGGCGCGACAGCGUGGGGAUCAAACAGG